rnacentral:rRNA from 1 species
CCUACGGGAGGCAGCAGUGGGGAAUAUUGCACAAUGGGGGCAACCCUGAUGCAGCGACGCCGCGUGUGUGAGGAAGUCCUUCGGUUUGUAAAGCACUAUCAGCAGGGAAGAAAAUGACGGUACCAAUAUAAGAAGCCACUGCUAACUACGUGCCAGCAGCCGCGGUAAUACGUAGGGUGCAAGCGUUCUCCGGAUUUACUGGUUGUAAAGGUAGCGUAGGCGGUUAAUCAAGUCAGAAGUGAAAACCCAGGGCUUAACCUGGGGACUGCUUAUGAAACUGAGUGGCUAGAGUGCAGGAGAGGUAGGCGGAAUUCCAGGUGUAGCGGUGAAAUGCGUAGAUAUUAGGAGGAACACCAGUGGCGAAGGCGGCUUACUGGACUGAAACUGACGUUGAGGCGCGAAAGCGUGGGGAGCAAACAGGAUUAGAUACCCUUGUAGUC